GGCGGGUCUCCCCGCAUUGUGGGGUGGUCAACCUGGUCAGGUCCGGAAGGAAGCAGCCACAGCCAAUUCCUGCAAGUGCCGGGGGUCAGGCUCGCCACC
rnacentral:SRP_RNA from 1 species